GCUGUUGGAGUUUUACGAGUCAUUCUGUAUACAAGGGUAUCUAUACUUGAAAUUGAUGUGAUUUCAAAAAUCAUUGGACUUAUAAACCUUAACUUUACUCCUCUUUGGUCCCACUAUAAGUGUAUUGCAAGUAUCAUUCUGCUAGGGAAAGACAGUUAAUAGAGAGAGGUUACGCUGGAAGCAAAACAAAAGCUUUCUAGUUUGAGAGUUUGCAAAGAAGUGUGCCCUAGCAAUUUGGAA
rnacentral:lncRNA from 1 species